rnacentral:misc_RNA from 1 species
AACUGAUACUACCUGCGGGAACCUGCGGAGGGAUCAUUACCGAGUUAUCCAACUCCCAACCCCUGUGAAUCAUACCUUUAAUUGUUGCUUCGGCGGGACUUCGCGCCCGCCGGGGACCCAAACCUUCUGAAUUUUUUAAUAAGUAUCUUCUGAGUGGUUAAAAAAAUGAAUCAAAACUUUUAACAAUGGAUCUCU